ACUCUGGGACAAGCCCUGGAAACGGGGUCUAAUACCGGAUACUGACCUGCCAAGGCAUCUUGGCGGGUCGAAAGCUCCGGCGGUGCAGGAUGAGCCCGCGGCCUAUCAGCUUGUUGGUGAGGUAAUGGCUCACCAAGGCGACGACGGGUAGCCGGCCUGAGAGGGCGACCGGCCACACUGGGACUGAGACACGGCCCAGACUCCUACGGGAGGCAGCAGUGGGGAAUAUUGCACAAUGGGCGAAAGCCUGAUGCAGCGACGCCGCUUGAGGGAUGACGGCCUUCGGGUUGUAAACCUCUUUCAGCAGGGAAGAAGCGAAAGUGACGGUACCUGCAG
rnacentral:rRNA from 1 species